GGCCUUGAAUUGUAGUCUAGAGAUGUAUCACCAACUGGGGCGCAGAUGUAAGCCUUUUGGAAUAGAGCAUCAAUGAGGGUGAAAGUCCCGCUUGGCAUCUGCAGUCCCCAGUGCUCGGUGUGCCUUCUAAGAGUCACGUUCCUCGGGAUUGGAGCGCAAAUUGGGUGGUAAAUUUCAUCUAAAGCUAAAUAUUGCUUCGAGACCGAUAGCAAACAAGUACCAUGAGGGAAAGGUGAAAAGGACUUUGAAAAGAGAGUUAAAAGUGCCUGAAAUUGCUGAAAGGGAAGCGAAUGGAGCCAGCAUGGCUUGGCAAGAUUGCUACGUGUCAAUGUGAGUGCUUGCUGCUGCAAUGAAAAUGAGGUAGUGAGUUUUGAACAGGACAUGCGUGGUGCAUCCUGCCUUGUGUGUCACUGCCAGUUCACAGCUGGGGAAAACUUCAGGUACAUGGUAGCCUGUCCUUGGGUGGGUGAACGUGCUUGCUGGAACUCAUUUGUGGACUGAUCAGCGACUAAAUGGUUCCAUCUGACCCGUCUUGAAACACGGACCAAGGAGUCUAACAUAUGUGCAAGCUCACGGGUGUUAAGCCUGCUUGCAUAAUGAAAGUGACUGCUGGGAUCUUUGCACCAGCAACCGACCAAUCCAUUGAGAGAGGUUUGAGUAUGAGCAUAUCUGUUAGGACCCGAAAGAUGGUGAACUAUGCCUGUGAAGGGCAAACUCAGGGGAAACUCUGAUGGAGGCUCGUAGCGAUACUGACGUGCAAAUCGUUCGUCAUACAUGGGUAUAGGGGCGAAAGACUAAUCGAACCAUCUAGUAGCUGGUUCCCUCCGAAGUUUCCCUCAGGAUAGCUGGAGUUGAACAGUUUUAUCAGGUAAAGCGAAUGAUUAGAGGAAUCGGGGACGUGUUGUCCUCGACCUAUUCUCAAACUUUAAAUGGGUAAGAUCCAGUGGUUGCUUGGAUGAACUUCUGGGAUUAAAUGACAACUCUAAGUGGGCCAUUUUGGUAAGCAGAACUGGCGAUGAGGGAUGAACCUAACGUUGGGUUAAAGUGC
rnacentral:rRNA from 1 species